GCUCAGAUUGAACGCUGGCGGUAUGCUUAACACAUGCAAGUCGAACGGAAACGAAACUAGCUUGCUAGUAGGCGUCGAGUGGCGGACGGGUGAGUAACGCGUAGGAAUCUGCCUGAUAGUGGGGGAUAGCCCGAAGAAAUUCGGAUUAAUACCGCAUAAUCUAUUCGUAGUAAAGUGAGGGACUUUCGAGCCUCACGCUAUCAGAUGAGCCUGCGUAAGAUUAGCUUGUUGGUAGGGUAAAAGCCUACCAAGGCAACGAUCUUUAGCUGGUCUGAGAGGAUGAUCAGCCACAUCGGGACUGAGACACGGCCCGAACUCCUACGGGAGGCAGCAGUGGGGAAUAUUGGACAAUGGGGGCAACCCUGAUCCAGCAAUACCGCGUGUGUGAAGAAGGCCUGAGGGUUGUAAAGCACUUUCAAUUGUGAAGAAAAGUUAACGGUUAAUAACCGUUGACCUUGACGUUAACUUUAGAAGAAGCACCGGCUAACUCCGUGCCAGCAGCCGCGGUAAUACGGAGGGUGCAAGCGUUAAUCGGAAUUACUGGGCGUAAAGCGUACGUAGGCGGUUUAUUAAGUCAGAUGUGAAAGCCCCGGGCUUAACCUGGGAACUGCAUUUGAAACUGGUCAACUAGAGUAUGGUAGAGGAAAGUGGAAUUUCUGGUGUAGCGGUGAAAUGCGUAGAUAUCAGAAGGAACAUCAAUGGCGAAGGCAGCUUUCUGGACCAAUACUGACGCUGAGGUACGAAAGCGUGGGUAGCAAACAGGAUUAGAUACCCUGGUAGUCCACGCCGUAAACGAUGAUAACUAGCCGUUGGGGGGAUUUACCCCUUAGUGGCGAAGCUAACGCGUUAAGUUAUCCGCCUGGGGAGUACGGCCGCAAGGCUAAAACU
rnacentral:rRNA from 1 species